GUAAAUGUGAUUUAGGCCAUCCAUAUAAUCCUAAGGAUAUGGCUUAGGAGUCUCUACCGAGGGGCCGUAAACCCUUCGACUAUGGAUGAGCUAGGGGGUAUU
rnacentral:ncRNA from 2 species